rnacentral:snRNA from 1 species
UGUCCUCCAUCAGAGGUCUAUAUUGAGCAGAUUCUUUUUGGUGUUGGGUGGUGGAACUGGAGCUUGCUCCAUCCACUCCAUGCAUUGACCUGGUAUUACAGUGCUUCCAGGACCGGUGC